AUUGAACGCUGGCGGCAGGCCUAACACAUGCAAGUCGAGCGGAUGACGGGAGCUUGCUCCUUGAUUCAGCGGCGGACGGGUGAGUAAUGCCUAGGAAUCUGCCUGGUAGUGGGGGACAACGUUUCGAAAGGAACGCUAAUACCGCAUACGUCCUACGAGAGAAAGCAGGGGACCUUCGGGCCUUGCGCUAUCAGAUGAGCCUAGGUCGGAUUAGCUAGUUGGUGGGGUAAUGGCUCACCAAGGCGACGAUCCGUAACUGGUCUGAGAGGAUGAUCAGUCACACUGGAACUGAGACACGGUCCAGACUCCUACGGGAGGCAGCAGUGGGGAAUAUUGGACAAUGGGCGAAAGCCUGAUCCAGCCAUGCCGCAUGUGUGAAGAAGGUCUUCGGAUUGUAAAGCACUUUAAGUUGGGAGGAAGGGCAGUAAGUUAAUACCUUGCUGUUUUGACGUUACCGACAGAAUAAGCACCGGCUAACUCUGUGCCAGCCGCCGCCGUAA
rnacentral:rRNA from 1 species